UACAGAGGUCUCAAGCGUUGUUCGGAUUCAUUGGGCGUAAAGGGUGCGUAGGCGGCGCGGUAAGUCGGGUGUGAAAUCUUGGAGCUUAACUCCGAAACUGCAUUCGAUACUGCCGUGCUGGAGGACUGGAGAGGAGACUGGAAUUUACGGUGUAGCGGUGAAAUGCGUAGAUAUCGUAAGGAAGACCAGUGGCGAAGGCGGGUCUCUGAACAGUUCCUGACGCUGAGGCACGAAGGCCAGGGGAGCAAACGGG
rnacentral:rRNA from 1 species